rnacentral:rRNA from 1 species
UACGGAGGGGGCUAGCGUUGUUCGGAAUUACUGGGCGUAAAGCGCACGUAGGCGGCUUUGUAAGUUAGAGGUGAAAGCCCGGGGCUCAACUCCGGAAUUGCCUUUAAGACUGCAUCGCUAGAAUUGUGGAGAGGUAAGUGGAAUUCCGAGUGUAGAGGUGAAAUUCGUAGAUAUUCGGAAGAACACCGGUGGCGAAAGCGGCGCGCUGGAUCUCUUCUGACGCUGAGGCGCGAAAGCCAGGGGAGCAAACGGG